AGGUCGGGCAGGUCACUACAUCUGCGGAAUGACCUGCGCCCAGAUCGCAAUCAUUCCGACGAAAAGCACAACCGAAGUCAGCGCAGCGGCUUCUUCAACGAAUGUCUUCAACAUGACCGAACUCCCUAUCGACGCUCUAUCGACUAUCCGAUACGACUCUAUGAGAACGUAAUAGGAACAUUGUUCCUUUUUUGUUCUCAGAGUCAAGCGCCGGAAAUCCGGCCAGGGCCGAUGUUCUGGCCAAUGCUAACGAAACGUAAACGGCCCGUGACUUUCGCAAAUCCAUCAACAGCUACGCGGGAACGUGAGUUGACGAAAACUG
rnacentral:misc_RNA from 1 species